rnacentral:misc_RNA from 1 species
AAAGUCGUAACAAGGUCGCCGUAGGUGAACCUGCGGCGGGAUCAUUAAUGGAUCUCUCCCCUUAACAACUUGUGUGGAUGGUUAUUUAGAUGCGCGGCGCUGCCUUUUGGGGGGAUGGUUUCACAUUUCCCGGACGGGUAUCCGCCGCGCGCAGUGUAGGCUGCUCUUUUUCUCUCUUUCUCUCUGGGCGGCUGUGUGCGUUUUCGUGCCGGCCGGCCAGGCGGGGGGAGGGGGAUGGGGUGGUCUAUAACCAAACUUGAUGGACCUAUAUUUUAUAAUCGAACCUAUAUUUUGUAUCCGGCCUUUUCGGCGGCUGCUGGUGGUAAUGGCGACGAUACAGUCGUUAUUAUUUCAGCGCUGCUGUUGGCUGACAAUUACAAUACAACUAUCCGUGGUGGAUCACUAGGCUCUU